rnacentral:rRNA from 1 species
AAAUUGAAGAGUUUGAUCAUGGCUCAGAUUGAACGCUGGCGGCAGGCCUAACACAUGCAAGUCGAACGGUAACAGGAAACAGCUUGCUGUUUCGCUGACGAGUGGCGGACGGGUGAGUAAUGUCUGGGAAACUGCCUGAUGGAGGGGGAUAACUACUGGAAACGGUAGCUAAUACCGCAUAACGUCGCAAGACCAAAGAGGGGGACCUUCGGGCCUCUUGCCAUCGGAUGUGCCCAGAUGGGAUUAGCUAGUAGGUGGGGUAACGGCUCACCUAGGCGACGAUCCCUAGCUGGUCUGAGAGGAUGACCAGCCACACUGGAACUGAGACACGGUCCAGACUCCUACGGGAGGCAGCAGUGGGGAAUAUUGCACAAUGGGCGCAAGCCUGAUGCAGCCAUGCCGCGUGUAUGAAGAAGGCCUUCGGGUUGUAAAGUACUU